UACGUAGGGGGCUAGCGUUGUCCGGAUUUAUUGGGCGUAAAGAGCGUGUAGGCGGCCAGGUAGGUCCGUUGUGAAAACUCGAGGCUCAACCUCGAGACGUCGGCGGAAACCCUCUGGCUAGAGUCCGGAAGAGGAGAGUGGAAUUCCUGGUGUAGCGGUGAAAUGCGCAGAUAUCAGGAGGAACACCGGUGGCGAAGGCGGUUCUCUGGGCCUGUACUGACGCUGAGGAGCGAAAGCGUGGGGAGCGAACAGG
rnacentral:rRNA from 1 species